AGCUGGGAUAACUCUGGGAAACUGGGGAUAAUACCGGAUAUUAGGCUAUGUCUGCAAUGGUUUGCCUUUGGAAUGUUUUUUUUCGCCUAAGGAUAGAUCUGCGGCUGAUUAAGUCGUUGGUGGGGUAAUGGCCCACCAAGCCGAUGAUCGGUACGGGUUGUGAGAGCAAGGGCCCGGAGAUGGAACCUGAGACAAGGUUCCAGACCCCUACGGGGUGCAGCAGGCGCGAAACCUCCGCAAUGUACGAAAGUGCGACGGGGGGAUCAUCCCAAGUGUUUGCCUUAAAGGUAUGACUUUUCAUUAGCGUAAAAAGCUUUUAGAAAUAGAGCUGCGCCAAGACCCGUGCCAGCCGCCGCGGUAACACCGGCAGCUCGAGUGGUAGCUGUUUUUUAUGGGCCUAAAGCGUUCGUAGCCGGUUUNAUAGUCUUUGGUGAANGCUGUAGCUUACUAUAAGAAUGCUGGAGAUCUAUUGGACUUGAGUCGGGAGAGUUAGAGUACUACGGGGUAGGGUGAAAUCUUAAUCGUGGAGACACUGUUGCGAAGCGCUACUGGACGUCUUGAGGGAGUACGAAGCCCGGGCCGACCGAUUAAUCCGUUACCUGNCGUACAUG
rnacentral:rRNA from 1 species